rnacentral:rRNA from 1 species
AUUGAACGCUGGCGGCAGGCCUAACACAUGCAAGUCGAGCGGAUGAAGGGAGCUUGCUCCUGGAUUCAGCGGCGGACGGGUGAGUAAUGCCUAGGAAUCUGCCUGGUAGUGGGGGUAACCGUCGGGAACCGGCCGCUAAUCCCGCAUCGGCCUGGGGGGGGAAGGGGGGGGAUCUUGGGACUCAACGCAACAAGAUGGGCUAGGUCGGAUUAGCUAGUUGGUGGGGUAAAGGCCUACCAAGGCGACGAUCCGUAACUGGUCUGAGAGGAUGAUCAGUCACACUGGAACUGAGACACGGUCCAGACUCCUACGGGAGGCAGCAGUGGGGAAUAUUGGACAAUGGGCGAAAGCCUGAUCCAGCCAUGCCGCGUGUGUGAAGAAGGUCUUCGGAUUGUAAAGCACUUUAAGUUGGGAGGAAGGGCAGUAAGUUAAUACCUUGCUGUUUUGACGUUACCAACAGAAUAAGCACCGGCUAACUUCGUG